CCUACGUGGAGCUGCAGUGGGGAAUAUUGCACAAUGGGGGAAACCCUGAUGCAGCAACGCCGCGUGAGUGAUGACGGCCUUCGGGUUGUAAAGCUCUGUCUUCAGGGACGAGAAUGACGGUACCGGUGGAGGAAGCCACGGCUAACUACGUGCCAGCAGCCGCGGUAAUACGUAGGUCGCGAUCGUUGUCCGGAUUUAAUGGCCGUAAAGGGAGCGUAGGCGGACGGUUAAUGGAGCUGUGAAAGACUCGGGCUAAACUUGAGUGCUGCAUUUCAAACUGGAAGUCUAGAGUGCAGGAGAGGAAACUGGAAUUCCUGGUGUAGCGGUGAAAUGCGUAGAGAUUGGGAAGAACACUAGUGGCGAAGGCGAUUCUCUGGACUGUAACUGACGCUGAGGCUCGAAAGCGUGGGGAGCAAACAGGAUUAGAUACCCGGGUAGUC
rnacentral:rRNA from 1 species